rfam:Ictidomys tridecemlineatus contig080438, whole genome shotgun sequence.
GGGGUUGUGGCUCAGAGGUAGAGCGCUCCUCUAGCACAUGUGAGGCCCUGAGUUCAAUCCUCAGCACCA